GCAGGCUGAGGCUGAGGAGCUGGCGGCAGGAACAAGGGAGAGCUGUGUCCCCGCCGGCGCCCCCCACCCCCCCUGCCGGGGAUCUUGGCAGUGGAGGUGCUGGCUGCGCUCCACAGACCUCAGACCUCGGCUGGGACCAGAAAUGCCUGGUGCUUCCGCCUGGGCCCGGUGGGGGGACUUUGGGUCCCCAGAGUGCAAGCUGUACCACUUCGAGGGGCCUCGCCAGGCCCCCCAGCCCCCAGUACACAGGGGCUGCAGUGGAGAUGACGCUGAAGGCCGCAGCCACUGGAGGACCUGGGGUCUGGCCGGAAGCUGGCUGCAGACCCUGCGGAGGCACGCCCAGGCCUCUGCUCUCCGGGGCUACGGCCUCCCACAGGCACGUUCCUACACCCCUCUGUGAACUGCCCACGGGCCCCCCACCACAGGUGCUCCUCUGUGAGCUGGUCGGGCGGCUGGGGCCGGGGCCGGGCUCCGCUGCUCCGUGCCUUCCACCUCCCUGGCGGUGCGGGGCCUCAGGGUGGGCCUGGGAAGCUGGAAACACCUUUGGAAACAGCCGCCUGAGGCAGCUGUGGACAGGAGACCCUGCCCAGCAGCCAAGGGAGCUGGCCUCUCCGCGCAGCCUCCCCACCCCCACCA
rnacentral:lncRNA from 1 species